UAGCUGUGAUGACACCCAAUUGGUUUCGCUCAGUACUGAUGUGCAGUGAGGACAAUUCCACUUGGCUGUCUGAGCAG
rfam:Callipepla squamata strain Texas jcf7180005233382, whole genome shotgun sequence.